rnacentral:misc_RNA from 1 species
AAGUCGUAACAAGGUUUCCGUAGGUGAACCUGCGGAAGGAUCAUUAUCCAACCAAAACCAGCUGCGGUCGCGGCCCCCCGAGGACCUUACCUUGGGGUGGUAGGGGUAACACCCUCACGCGCCGCACGUCUGCAUCCUUUCUUUACGAGCACCUUCGUUCUCCUUCGGCGGGGCAACCUGCCGUUGGAACCAAACAAAACCUUUUUUUGCAUCUAGCAUUACCUGUUCUGAUACAAACAAUCGUUACAACUUUCAACAAUGGAUCUCUUGGCUCUG